CCUACGGGAGGCAGCAGUGGGGGAUAUUGGACAAUGGGGGGAACCCUGAUCCAGCGACGCCGCGUGAGUGAAGAAGUAUCUCGGUAUGUAAAGCUCUAUCAGCAGGGAAGAAGAAAUGACGGUACCUGAGUAAGAAGCCCCGGCUAACUACGUGCCAGCAGCCGCGGUAAUACGUAGGGGGCAAGCGUUAUCCGGAAUUACUGGGUGUAAAGGGAGCGUAGACGGUGAUGUAAGUCUGGAGUGAAAGGGGGGGUCCCAACCCCCGGACUGCUCGGGAAACUCUGUGAUUGGAGUGCAGGAGAGGUGAGCGGAAUUCCUAGUGUAGCGGUGAAAUGCGUAGAUAUUAGGAGGAACAACAGUGGCGAAGGCGGAUCACUGGACUGUAACUGACGUUGAGGCUCGAAAGCGUGGGGAGCAAACAGGAUUAGAUACCCCUGUAGUA
rnacentral:rRNA from 1 species